GGUAGAAAAGAACAAAGGUUGUUCGUUAGACUCAUAUUCUAAAGGUUAAAGGUUCAAAUCCUUUUUCUACUA
rnacentral:tRNA from 1 species